UACGAGGGGGGCAAAUGUUGUUCGGAAUCACUGGGCGUAAAGGGUGCGUAGGCGGGUUCUUAAGUAAGGUGUUUAAUCCCGGGGCCCAACCCCGGACCGGCACUUUAAACUGGGAAUCUUGAAUAGUGGAGAGGUCAGUGGAAUUGGGGGUGUAGCGGUGGAAUGCGUAGAGAUCCCCAAGAACACCAGUUGCGAAGGCGGCUGACUGGACACAUAUUGACGCUGAGGCUCGAAAGCAUGGGGAGCAAACAGG
rnacentral:rRNA from 1 species